rnacentral:rRNA from 1 species
UACGUAGGGUGCAAGCGUUGUCCGGAAUUAUUGGGCGUAAAGAGCUCGUAGGCGGCUUGUCACGUCGACUGUGAAAACCCGGGGCUCAACUCCGGGCCUGCAGUCGAUACGGGCUGGCUUGAGUGCGGUAGGGGAGACUGGAAUUCCGUGGUGUAGCGGUGAAAUGCGCAGAUAUCAGGAGGAACACCCGUGGCGAAAGCGGCUCUCUGGGACGGUACUGACGCUGAGACGCGAAAGCGUGGGGAGCGAACAGG